CCAAGAAUGGAAUUGCUUUCGAAGUUGGCAGUACUCCUGCUUUUCCUAUGGCACCAGCAGUCCCAUCCUGGUGACAAGUGUCCCUUUCUUGUCUAUCUUGACUUCAGGCUGACCCAGGGCAGCUUGCUGUUGCUCCGUCAACGGAGGCAAGAGAGGAUGGAUUAAAGAUGCCUGUUGAUGUUACUAAGCUACAGGGAAGCCAUAGGAGGAGAUAGCCAGCUGCCCCCGGAGGGCUGCCUGACCAUCAUGUGCAGCCACUGAUGUUAGCUGUGCACAUUUGAUCAGAAACAAGAUCAAGUUCUUGACAGAAAUACAUGUACUAGUACUUGGUGCCACUUUACAGGAUCGUCAGAGUCCUACUCCAAUAUUUGGAUCCCAAAUGACAGAUUUAAUGGCCUUCAUUAAUACCCCGAUGAUGUAGGCUUAAUUUUACGGUUCACCUGUUCUUGCUGUUUACUUUCCUGAGCUUCAGCCAAGCCGAAGAAACUGUGUGAAAACAGAAUCUCGUUGUCUAUGAAAGAAAACGCCACCUUCCUUAGUAGAAAGGAAA